UACGGAGGAUGCAAGCGUUAUCCGGAAUGAUUGGGCGUAAAGCGUCCGCAGGUGGCAAUGUAAGUCUGCUGUUAAAGAGUCUAGCUCAACUAGAUAAAAGCAGUGGAAACUACAUAGCUAGAGUACGUUCGGGGCAGAGGGAAUUCCUGGUGUAGCGGUGAAAUGCGUAGAGAUCAGGAAGAACACCAGUGGCGAAGGCGCUCUGCUAGGCCGUAACUGACACUGAGGGACGAAAGCUAGGGGAGCGAAAUGGG
rnacentral:rRNA from 1 species